AAAGUUCAAGUGUGGGGGAAUUUGAUAAGUGCAUUUUGAUGCACCUUCUUCUACUAUUAUACUUGGGCAAAUACAUGGUUUAUUAUAUUAUUUUUAAUAUUUUAGUGUGUUUUUUAUAUUUAAGUUUAUUUUUGUCUUUAUUUUAUUUUCGUACUUUAUUUUCAGCAUAAAUAGUUAUUUAAUACCUUGUUACUAUGCAGAUCAUAACUUGAGCUAUAGGAGCCAUAUUAAUGAAUUCUAAUAUGCGUUAAAAACCUAAGAGAAAGAGCUACAAGUUUCAUGUUGAAGUCAAAAGCAAAUUCAGAGUGAAGAAGGGUCGCAUAAUUCAUUGAAGUUCCGGACUUAAUUAAAAUAGUUAGUUUGGGUCGGUUUUUGUAAUUUUCGGGUCGGAUCACAUAAGGGCCCGAACUUCCCUUUUAUUAUAUUAGGUCUUUCACUGCUACACCAAUCCUAUUCUGAAUUUUAAAGAUACAAUAUUUAUUAGACGAUUAUUUUUCUAAUUUUUAUGAUUUUUUUCUUUCUGUUUUGAUAGUUCAUAAACUUCCAUUUUUUUUCUUAUUUCACUUAAUUAGAUUAAAUUUCGUGUUU
rnacentral:lncRNA from 1 species